UGGGGAAUAUUGGGGCAAUGGGACGCAAGUCUGACCCAGCAACGCCGCGUGAAGGAAGAAGUAUUUCGGUAUGUAAAGCUCUAUCAGCAGGGAAGAAAAUGACGGUACCUGACUAAGAAGCCCCGGCUAACUACGUGCCAGCAGCCGCGGUAAUACGUAGGGGGCAAGCGUUAUCCGGAUUUACUGGGUGUAAAGGGAGCGCAGGCGGUCCUGCAAGUCUGAUGUGAAAGCCCGGGGCUCAACCCCGGGACUGCAUUGGAAACUGUGGGACUUGAGUGUCGGAGGGGCAAGUGGAAUUCCUAGUGUAGCGGUGAAAUGCGUAGAUAUUAGGAGGAACACCAGUGGCGAAGGCGGCUUGCUGGACGACAACUGACGCUGAGGCUCG
rnacentral:rRNA from 1 species